GGGGGCCGGAGCCACUCGGUGUCCACCCCUUCGGGAGGGGGUGGAGCCGUGUCGUAUUACCACUCUCCUCUGUCAGCAUGGCCACUGCAGGCGGUGGCCAGCCACGAGCAAUGAGCUGUUUAACCAACAUUGGUGCUGUUCAGACUCAGCUACACCACCGAGCACGGAGGACCUGCUGUGACUGCUGCCUCCUGCUGCCUCUUCUUCCAUCCAUUGAGACUGCAAGACCACGAGCACACAUCUGUGCUGGACCCCCACACAGCUGCCAUCACCACAUUCCCUGCUCUAACUCACUGUUCAGCUAAUGAUACAGGACUACCACAGAACCGGAGUCCAGAGAUCAUCAAGUAAGAAACAGUAACAGCUAAAAGGUAUUGACACCCCCAGACCCAAAAGCAUCUGGGCGCUAUAAAAAGACUUUAAUGUAAACAUCUAUUACUGUGAGAUGCUUUUAACAAUUGAUCACCUGUCUCCUGGAUGCCAAACUAAUAAAGGAAACAGGUGCUUUAAAAUAAUCUGUGUCUGAUAAAGCUUAACAAUGUUUCAAAAUCCAUAAGGACAGGCUGGAUCUACAUCAGAUAAAUGUCAACAUAAAAUAAUAAUGAUCCUUUUAUCUCUCUAAGUUUUUUUUCUGUGUCACCAGCAUCUUGUCAAACAGACAGUUCCCAGCCACAGCCAAGAGGGAUACAUGUCUCCAGAGCAAACAGAUGGCAGACAGCAUCCCACAAGCCUGUCUACCUAGGAAAACUCCCCUUCUCCAUUCCCCCGAGAGCCAACCGACGACCAAAAGUAAGCUGGAAGCAGUUUUUUUAGAGGAACGACGCCCCUAGUCCCAUCUACCUGCUUUUUUUUUUAUAAUAAGUGAAAGACUGGGAUGUAAGGAUUCAGUCCUUAACUACGUCAACAGCCUGCUACAGCGUCCCAGCCUAAAAAGCAGGUGGGCCCUCUGUGCAUCCCUCUCUUUCCUUCCUGCCCCUUCCUUCUUCUCUCCCCUUCUUCUUUUUCCUCUCUCU